rnacentral:lncRNA from 1 species
CUGUGAUGCAGGCUGGCAGUUGUAGCUCCGUUUCCGCCCCUCGCCUGGGAACUUCCAUAUGCUGCAGAUGUGGCCCUAAAUAGCAAAAAAUAAUAAUAUGAUGCGUUAAAAAGUCCAUCUGUUCUAAUUCAUUGAGAACCUUGUCCUAUCCUUCAGAGCCCCGAUGGAACUUCUGGUCUACCUUGCUGCCAGAUGUGCAGAUACGGUGAAAUGCUGUCAUUCAAGACGUCCUGGGUAAAAAAAAAAAAAGAUAGCACGGGAACUUAGAGAAACACACCUUUGGGGGAAGAAUAUUCACUUUAUUUUUUUCUGGCUUUAUGGAAGUCUCACUGACUGGUAGAAGUUGCAUCUCUUUAAGGUGGAUGAUGUGAUGGUUUGAUUUGCAGAUACAGUGUGAAAUGUCUCUUGCCAACUGUGUCAUUUGAGGCAAGUGGUUAACCCUCCAGGAUCCCGAGUAUCCUUUUCUGUUCAAGGGGUCUUUUUAUGGUUAUAAGACUUGGAGGAACGGAUGCAUCUAGAAGGGUUUUAAGGCUGAAGAAAUCUUUGCUAUGCCUCAUGUUACCAUUGGGUGUGGCCCGGCUCACGUGGACCUAGUGAUCUGGCUUUUCUUUCCCGACAUCCUCGAUUUAUGAAAUGGUGAUGUUUCUCUACGGGGUUCAGGAAAAGGUGGAGCUAGGCACCCUGGGUGGACCUCACACUGGCGCUGGUGCACAGGUUAGAUUUGUUAUGAGGCACAGGACAAGGUGCCCAGGGCGAAGGUUUCCCCAAAGUCCUGCACAUGUCUUUGCAAUGUCUGGCCAGCUGUCCACAUACGGGGAAAUUCUGUUGAUAAGUGACCCCAGCCUAGCACUCAACUUUAUUUACACGUUGUUGCAAGAGAUUGCAUUUCCAGGCAGGUGACCAUGGCAUUUGUAGACAAUUAUCCCUGGCUUGAUUGCUUGCCACGUGCGGAAAGCAUAUGGCGGAUGGCAGCUCGUGGCAUUUGAGUUACCAGCUCACCAGGCCUGGGGCUGCCUCUGAUUGCAGAAGGCCCCUUCUUGGGGAUCCAGCAUGUGGGGGGAGUGCUUUACUGCUUCACCCCCUCCAGGGGUGGUUGGUGAUCCCAGCAUUGUCACAUUCAAAGGGGUGCGGCUUUUUGGUCGUUUGCAUUAUGGGGACAUUACAUGGCUCUUAGGACAUUUGUCUGCAGGUGGUAGUAGUAUCUCUGACUUCCUUUUAUUAUAAAUGUGUUGGGGAAUUCCUAUCAUGGUGCAGUGGAAAUGAAUCCGACUAGGAACCAUGAGGUUGCGGGUUCCACCCCCAGCCUUGCUCAGUGGGUUAAGGAUCUGGCAUUGCUGUGGCUGUGGUGUAGUCUGGCAUCUGUAGCUCCAAUUAGACCCCUAGGCUGGGAACCUCUAGAUGCUGUGGGUGUGGCCCUAAAAAAAAAUGUGUUGGGAGUUCCUGUUGUGGCUCAGUGGUAAUGAACCCAACUAGUAUCCAUGAGGAUGUAGGUUUGAUCCCUGGCCUUGCUCAGUGGGUUGAAGAUUCAGCAUUGUUGUGAACUGGGGUAUAGAUCACAAAUUCGGCUUGGAUCCCACAUUGCUGUGGCUGUGGUGUAGACAGCAGCCACAGCUCCUAUUCCACCCCUAGCCUUGGAACUUCCAUAUGCCACAGAUGUGGCCCUAAAAAG